AUUGAUAACAUUGAACGUCCGUACCGUACACUCUACAACUUGGCAACUCUAUGUUUUCUUAUUUAUUCGGGAUUUGGAGUGAUGAAUGCAGUGUUUUUAAUGUACUGCAUGAUAUCAUACUUGGAGUCAUCUUGCAUCGUAUUCAAAAACACUCUAAGGGAAGCUAAAUGUAUCAAUAUUAAAACUAUACGAUAUCGCAAAUUAAUUAUGGCACAUCAUCAGCAUUUGUAUAUGACGAGGAUAUGGAUGCUUCUGACGCAUUUCGUUAAAUGGCCUGGAUUUGUACUGAUUGUGUUCAGCGGAUUAACAAUUGCACUAAUUAUUAUAACAGAGUUCAUACGUUUCGAUGUGCUCAGCCUGUGUCAUGUUAUGAUGUACACUAUUAUUGUAUAUAGCUUGGGAUGGAUGGGUGAAAGAAUAAUAGCUCUUGGUGAAAAAAUACGGCGAGACACCUUUUAUGCAUGUCCAUGGGAUGGUGACGUGAAAAGUGUACGGAUUUUAAUGUUAAUGAAUAUGAAUUUCAACCACAACUUGUCAGUGCCACUUGGGAAUUAUACAUCGUUUUCAUGCACGAUUGUACUAUCUGUUUUCAAAUUUGCUUAUUCUAUCGUAAUGUUGUAUAUUAACAAGGCUUAGCAGAUUGAGUAAUAUUUGGUAUAUUGGUAUUAUUUUGCAGUCAAAGCUGCACCAGCGCAAUCUAGUGAUGAAUUUCCUAAGCUUACACGAAGAGAGUUACCGGCUUCUGCAA